UGGGGAAUAUUGGACAAUGGGCGCAAGCCUGAUCCAGCAAUGCCGCGUGUGUGAAGAAGGCCUUCGGGUUGUAAAGCACUUUUAUCAGGAGCGAAACGCUGUCGGCUAAUACCCGGCGGAACUGACGGUACCUGAGGAAUAAGCACCGGCUAACUUCGUGCCAGCAGCCGCGGUAAUACGAAGGGUGCAAGCGUUAAUCGGAAUUACUGGGCGUAAAGCGUGCGUAGGCGGUUUCUUAAGUCUGCUGUGAAAUCCCCGGGCUCAACCUGGGAAUGGCAGUGGAUACUGGGAGGCUAGAGUGUGUCAGAGGGUGGUGGAAUUCCCGGUGUAGCGGUGAAAUGCGUAGAGAUCGGGAGGAACAUCAGUGGCGAAGGCGGCCACCUGGGACAACACUGACGCUGAGGCACGAAAGCGUGGGGAGCAAACAGGAUUAGAUACCCUGGUAGUCCACGCCCUAAACGAUGCGAACUGGAUGUUGGUCUCAACUCGGAGAUCAGUGUCGAAGCUAACGCGUUAAGUGCCCCGCCUGGGGAGUACGGCCGCAAGGCUAAACUUAAAUGAAUUGACGGGGUCAUAGCU
rnacentral:rRNA from 1 species